AGAAUGAAUCUACAGUGAUUCUGCCCAGUGAUUUUUUUUUAAAUGGCCGCAGUACCUUGACUGUGCUAAGGUAGCAUAAUCAAUUGGCUUCUAAUUAAAGUCUGGAAUGAAAGGAAAUAUGAAGUAAUUCUAUCUUAAAGGAUUUUUUUUGAAUUUAUUUAAAUGAUGAAAAUAUCAUUUUAUAGAAAAAAGACGAGAAGACCCUUAGAGUUUUGAUAUUUAUAUAUUUUUGUUGGGGCGACAGGUAAACAUAUAACUUUACGAAUUAUCAUUGAUCGAUUUUUUAUAAGAAUAAUAAAACUACCUUAGGGAUAACAGCAUUAUAUUUUUUUUUAUGAUUGUGACCUCGAUGUUGGACUAGGAACUUUAUGGCUAGCCGUCAAAAAAGAUUUGUUCUGUUCGAACAAUUUUAUCCUACGUGAUCUGA
rnacentral:rRNA from 1 species